UACGUAGGGGGCAAGCGUUGUCCGGAUUUAUUGGGCGUAAAGAGCGUGUAGGCGGCUUUACAGGUCCGUUGUGAAAACUCGAGGCUCAACCUCGAGACGCCGGUGGAAACCGUAAGGCUAGAGUCCGGAAGAGGAGAGUGGAAUUCCUGGUGUAGCGGUGAAAUGCGCAGAUAUCAGAAAGAACACCCGUGGCGAAGGCGGCUCUCUGGAACGCAACUGACGCUGAGACGCGAAAGCGUGGGGAGCAAACAGG
rnacentral:rRNA from 1 species